GCUUCCAUGGUGUAGAGGUUAGCACUUGUGCUUUACACGCAGAAGAUCCUGGGUUCAAUCCCCAAUGAACCA
rnacentral:tRNA from 1 species